UGCUCCCGGAUGUUAGCGGCGGACGGGUGAGUAACACGUGGGUAACCUGCCUGUAAGACUGGGAUAACUCCGGGAAACCGGAGCUAAUACCGGAUAGUUCCUUGAACCGCAUGGUUCAAGGAUGAAAGACGGUUUCGGCUGUCACUUACAGAUGGACCCGCGGCGCAUUAGCUAGUUGGUGGGGUAAUGGCUCACCAAGGCGACGAUGCGUAGCCGACCUGAGAGGGUGAUCGGCCACACUGGGACUGAGACACGGCCCAGACUCCUACGGGAGGCAGCAGUAGGGAAUCUUCCGCAAUGGACGAAAGUCUGACGGAGCAACGCCGCGUGAGUGAUGAAGGUUUUCGGAUCGUAAAGCUCUGUUGUUAGGGAAGAACAAGUGCGAGAGUAACUGCUCGCACCUUGACGGUACCUAACCAGAAAGCCACGGCUAACUACGUGCCAGCAGCCGCGGUAAUACGUAGGUGGCAAGCGUUGUCCGGAAUUAUUGGGCGUAAAGGGCUCGCAGGCGGUUUCUUAAGUCUGAUGUGAAAGCCCCCGGCUCAACCGGGGAGGGUCAUUGGAAACUGGGAAACUUGAGUGCAGAAGAGGAGAGUGGAAUUCCACGUGUAGCGGUGAAAUGCGUAGAGAUGUGGAGGAACACCAGUGGCGAAGGCGACUCUCUGGUCUGU
rnacentral:rRNA from 1 species